AAAGGGAGACCUAAUUCAGGUAUAAGACGAAAAAAAAGUAGUCGCUACCAAGAAUCAAUCCCAAAAGGUCGGAGCGAGGCGAAAUUGGCUUUCAAACUAGGUUCUGGGUUCACACAAGACCUGAAUCAGGAACAAGGGCUAUUAGCUCAGGUGGUUAGAGCGCACCCCUGAUAAGGGUGAGGUCCCUGGUUCGAGUCCAGGAUGGCCCACCUGCACAGGUGGCAAAAACAAGAGAAGCUCCGAAUCAGCACCUUAUCUUACUGACAUAGUAAGAGAGAAUGCUGGCUCUGAGUAAAGAGUCCAGAGGAACCUUGAAAACUGCAUAGAGCUAGGUGAAAAAGCCAAAAAAGAAGACCGCAAG
rnacentral:tRNA from 1 species